rnacentral:rRNA from 1 species
GUGAGGAAUUUUCCGCAAUGGGCGAAAGCCUGACGGAGCAAUGCCGCGUGAAGGAUGAAGGCCUAUGGGUUGUAAACUUCUUUUCUUAGAGAAGAAUAUUGACGGUAUCUGAGGAAUAAGCAUCGGCUAACUCUGUGCCAGCAGCCGCGGUAAGACAGAGGAUGAAAGCGUUAUCCGGAAUGAUUGGGCGUAAAGCGUCUGUAGGUGGCUUCAAAAGUCUCCUGUCAAAGAUCAGGGCUUAACCCUGGGCCGGCAGGAGAAACUCUGUGGCUAGAGUUUGGUAGGGGCAGAGGGAAUUCCCGGUGGAGCAGUGAAAUGCGUAGAGAUAGGGAGGAACACCAAAGGCGAAAGCACUCUGCUGGGCCACAACUGACACUGAGAGACGAAAGCGAGGGGAGCAAAAGGGAUUAGAUACCCGGGUAGUCC